rnacentral:tRNA from 1 species
GCGCCUAUAACUCAACUGGAUAGAGUAUCUGACUUCGAAUCAGAAGGUUACGAGUUCGAAUCUUGUUAGGCGUACCA